rnacentral:rRNA from 1 species
GACGAACGCUGGCGGCGUGCUUAACACAUGCAAGUCGAACGGGAUCCGGGCUUUCGGGUUUGGUGAGAGUGGCGAACGGGUGAGUAACACGUGAGUAACCUGCCCCCUUCUUUGGGAUAACGUCGGGAAAUCGGCGCUAAUACUGGAUAUUCUUGCUGCACCGCAUGGUGGGGUUUGGAAAGGGUUUCUGGUGGGGGAUGGGCUCGCGGCCUAUCAGCUUGUUGGUGGGGUGAUGGCCUACCAAGGCUUUGACGGGUAGCCGGCCUGAGAGGGUGUCCGGGCACACUGGGACUGAGACACGGCCCAGACUCCUACGGGCGGCAGCAGUGGGGAAUAUUGGACACUGGGCGCAAGCCUGAUGCAGCGACGCCACGUGAGUGAUGUCGGCCUUCGGGUUGUAAGCCUCUUUCAGUAUGGAACAAGGAUCCUUCUUUUGGGGGGUUUGAGGGUACGUGCAGAAGAAGCGCCGGCUAACUACGUG